CCUUCAUAAACAAGUUAAGGUUUGGCCAUUCUUGCUACAUUAUGCUGAAACUAUCACUGUUAAUAUUCUAGUAAUUGGUUUCAUAUAUCGCAAACAUACAAACUUGGACCUAGAAAGACAUAACAGAUUCUAAAUCAUGUUUGACAAGACCUUUUUUUUCUCUUCCUUUUUUGACAGCUGCUCAGUGCUGCAUGCCUUGAAACUUCAGCAGCAGCCAAGAAGCAGGUGAUAGCAGAAAAUCCACCUAUCUGGAAAUGAAAGGAUGGAUGAAUAUGGAGCUCUGUGGUCUGCUUCAUUUCCUUGACAGGAGCUUCAAAGCUUGAUUUCUGAUCAAUGGAAAGAAAUGGGGCAGGGUAGAGAUAUGUCUACUGAUUUCAGGAACUAUUAAAAUGCUGAGAUCAACACCAGAUCCACCUAAAGAAUCUGAAAGGAGAAUUGUGUGAUUGCUUUAUUGAAAACAACACAUGUCACGUAGUAGAGAUGUAAAAAUCUCUUUACCUUAUCCUGAAUGUUCUUAAGUAAUUUAUGCUUUGCUAUAUUUUUUGACACAGAUAGUUGUUUAUA